GACCAGACUCCUACGGGAGGCAGCAGCGGGGAAUAUUGCACAAUGGGGGAAACCCUGAUGCAGCGACGCCGCGUGAGCGAUGAAGUAUUUCGGUAUGUAAAGCUCUAUCAGCAGGGAAGGAAGAAAUGACGGUACCUGACUAAGAAGCCCCGGCUAACUACGUGCCAGCAGCCGCGGUAAUACGUAGGGGGCAAGCGUUAUCCGGACUUACUGGGUGUAAAGGGAGCGUAGACGGCGAUGCAAGUCUGAAGUGAGAGGCGGGGGCCCAACCCCCGGACUGCUUUGGAAACUGUAUGGCUGGAGUGCAGGAGAGGUAAGUGGAAUUCCUAGUGUAGCGGUGAAAUGCGUAGAUAUUAGGAGGAACACCGGUGGCGAAGGCGGCCUGCUGGACUGCGACUGACGUUGAGGCCCGAGAGCGUGGGGAGCAAACAGGAUUAGAUACCCCAGUAU
rnacentral:rRNA from 1 species